CACUUAUCUCAACCCUAGUGA
rnacentral:miRNA from 1 species